CCUACGGGUGGCAGCAGUGAGGAAUAUUGGUCAAUGGGCGCGAGCCUGAACCAGCCAAGUCGCGUGAGGGAAGACGGUCCUAUGGAUUGUAAACCUCUUUUGUCGGGGAGCAAAAGACGCCACGCGUGGCGUUCCGAGAGUACCCGAAGAAAAAGCAUCGGCUAACUCCGUGCCAGCAGCCGCGGUAAUACGGAGGAUGCGAGCGUUAUCCGGAUUUAUUGGGUUUAAAGGGUGCGCAGGCGGAAGAUCAAGUCAGCGGUAAAAUUGAGGGGCUCAACCUCUUCGAGCUGUUGAAACUGGGUUGCUUGAGUGAGCGAGAAGUAUGCGGAAUGCGUGGUGUAGCGGUGAAAUGCAUAGAUAUCACGCAGAACUCCGAUUGCGAAGGCAGCAUACCGGCGCUCAACUGACGCUCAUGCACGAAAGUGUGGGUAUCGAACAGGAUUAGAUACCCGGGUAGUC
rnacentral:rRNA from 1 species